UCACCCACCCGUUGUAUUAUCCACGCGUUGUAUUACCCACGCGUUGUAUCACCCACAUAUUGCAUCGCCCACGCGUUGUAUCACUACGCAUUGUAUCUCCAACGCUCUGUAUCAUCUACCCAUAGUACCACCCACAUAUUGUAUCGCCCACGCGUUGUAUACGCUUCGCAUUGUACCCUAUCUGCAUCCUACUCAUAGUACCAACCGCGUACUAUACCACUACUGUAUAAUGAAGAUCACCGUAAGUGCCUAUAGAAGACACCUGCACCAUUGAGUGGCUAAGAUCACAUGGCAUCGAUAAUCAGCGUCCGCAAUCGCCGUGAACAAAUAUAGCUCAGAAGACGGGUCGUAACCGGAAGUUCAAAGAGGAUCGAUCGGAAGUUCUUAAUGGCAAGCGAACACCGGGUCAGUAAACAGUAGACACUUUAAUGUCAUCGGAAUGGCAGUAUCGAUUACGGUGUUCAAGCGUGGUAAUUAAAGUCCCAUGGAUGUUGGCUCUCUGAGUCAUCGUGACCCACAAUUACAGGUCGGUGCGGUGACAUUCAGUGAAAGAGGAUGACAUUAUCUGGGGUCAUUAAAUCAUCGGGUGUAAAACCGCUGAUAAAGAUAGAGAUAUCGAUUUUCAAGGUAAAAGGACGAAAUUAAUUUUGUGAGAUGUACCGAUAUCGUAUGGAGUGGAACAUCCGCAGAUUUCCGACUUCCUUCAAGUAAAUUAGCGCACAACAAUGGGCCAGAGUAAAAUCGACCAAGCGUGUGUGUACUCUUUCGGGUCAAAGUUCAUGCUUGGUGGAACAUCACAGAAACAGAGAAGAAAAGAGUACAAUUGUUCAGAGACGUAAAACAAAAUGGCGGACUGGUACCAAAACUUGAGACGUCAGAGUUCCCGUUGGUUCCAGACAUCAAUCAACGCUAUAAACUCUUAGACAAAGAAGAAACAAAGAAGUUUCACGCGUUUUUUGGCUCAGCAUCGUUAGGGACGCGGUCCCCGCCAUGUUCUAUUCCCACUGUCAUCAGAAUCCCUGUUCUAUUUCACACGAGUGACGCGAUCCAGUAUCAAGAAAGGCGAGCCGCGUUGGACGGAAGCGGAUAUUAGAAAACCUCGGAUUCGAGGCUGUUUUUCCGCCUCUGUCGUCAGACUGACGAAUCAACGUCAAUAAUAUAUCACGACGGAUCUCGGCCUCGAUUCCUUCAAGGAUAAGGUCUCUCGAAUCCCGGGAGAGCUCUCGAUUACUUUCGCCAUUCUAAACGUGCUCGAAUUUCUAAGAAGACCGUUUUCUUCCCUCGUUUGACGCGAUCGACGCUAGAGAGAAAUUCGUGGGAAUCGCAGCCAUUCCGCGAUUUCUCGCGAUACUCAAAAGUUUGCAUUCUCAGUUUGUACGAAAUUCGAGGUGUUUUAUCAAGGUUAAAGAAGAGAGGACCUUGAUUGAAUAUUCUUGAACCUCAAGAAGGUGAAUUAGCUGUCAGCAAAUUACUUAUAGAAACCGUUCUAAGGUUGCACAAUUUCAAUUGAUCCGCUGAACCUUGACAUAGUAUAUUUGCUUUCAACGUACAAGCUAAGUGUAUAUUUUAUAAGAAAAAGAAGAAGAGGAGAAAAAUUAUUGGAACUCACCAGAGUUUCAUAAAGCACAGCUGCUAAUUCCUCAAAGUAAAAGUAACUUCUGAUUUAUCUUGGAACACUGACUGAAUAUGGAUCGAGAACUUCACGAGCACGAAUUCUUCGGUCACGAUCGUGCAGAGGUUCGCUCGGAACUGGGGAACACGAUCAACUGGCACGUCAAUGAAAGAACGCCGGGGAAUCGCCGCCGCUCGUUCGAGCAUCGCCUGCACGUGCGCGUGCAACACGCACGCGUGUACACCAAUGUGACGGCUCAGACACUUCGAGUUUGGAACGCGUUAAUGUUGGAAGACUUCGAAAGGCCUCAAACUCAAAGCAUCUCAAAUCUGAAGCUGCUGGAACUCGAAUCGCCUCAAGUUUGAAACAUCCUCACCGCUUAAAACUCUAUAACCUAAACAAUAUCAGCGUAUCCUGUGGCAACGCCUCUUCCGAGCUCUUCUGCGACCGUACAGAGCUAGACGAAGUAGUAGAAUUAGUAGCCUCUUCGAA